AGUUCAUAAUCAGUUCUUUAUUCGUGCAUUAUUCGUUCUUUAAUUCUUUAUUCGUUCUUCAUUCUUUAUUCGUGCAUUAUUCGUUCUUUAAUUCUUUAUUCGUUCUUCAGUUCAUUAUUCGUUCAUUAGUUUGCGAUCGUUUGUUACUACGGCUCAUUAUUCUUUGCGUCUAGAAAUCUGUAUAAGUAUUUUGCGUUUCGGGGUCUUUAGUUUUUCGAUAAAGAAAAGAGAGUCGCGAUUAAAUAAAGUAAAAUUUUAAGUCUUCAUUGCGAUAUCAAUUCAGUUAGCAAGUCACUCAAUUUGUAUCGAAAUAGUUUAAUAAAGUAAAGGUUGAUAGAAAACUAUAUUCGAGAUUAAAUAAUAAACCCAACAACCUUCGACGAUCACCGGGACAGCUGGAGUGAUGGCACCCGAUAGCACCUUUUCCUCAAGGUAAGCAAAUUAAAUUUAAAAAAAAAAACUUUCUUCUUCUCUGGCAAUCUCGUUGUCCUCGAGAAUUGAAUCAAAACCUCCUAUCAUCGAUUUCGUUUACGGUUUUUAAGAUAGAAACAUUGCUUAAAUUUUAAACAAAGGAGUUGUCCGUUGUGUCGGCUUGUGCGAACGGUGUUUUCAGCUACUGAAACACCCACUGAUCUUCGCAUUCCUCCUCCCAUUGUUGGUAAAAUAUUACCCAU